GACACCUUCGUGCCGGAAGCUUCUCUCCACUUAGAGCCCAGGGCUCCGGACAUGCACCUGAGGAACUGUUGACUUCAGGUGUGUCAAACAGCCCGUAAACAAUAGAAAACCCGGUAAUAAAGUCCCCCAGUGCAGGUUUCUCUUGAGGCUCAACUGGGAACUAUCAGAAUCCUUCCGCGAGAACUCACUCAGAUUUUGAGAGCUUUCAAUUGCGUAAAAUUGGCAAAGCCCAGGUGCGCAGAGCUUCGGUUAAA